AGGAAAAGAAACCAACAGGGAUUGCCCUAGUAACGGCGAGUGAAGCGGCAACAGCUCAAAUUUGAAAUCUGGCGCAAGCCCGAGUUGUAAUUUGUAGAGGAUGCUUCUAGGUAGCGACCGGUUUAAGUUCCUUGGAACAGGACGUCAUAGAGGGUGAGAAUCCCGUAUGUGACCGGCCCGCACCUUCUACGUAGCUCCUUCGACGAGUCGAGUUGUUUGGGAAUGCAGCUCUAAAUGGGAGGUAAAUUUCUUCUAAAGCUAAAUACCGGCCAGAGACCGAUAGCGCACAAGUAGAGUGAUCGAAAGAUGAAAAGCACUUUGGAAAGAGAGUUAAAAAGCACGUGAAAUUGUUGAAAGGGAAGCGCUUACAACCAGACUUCUGGGCGGUGUUCCGCCGGUCUUUUGACCGGUCUACUCGCCGUCCCGAGGCCAACAUCAUCUGGGACCGCUGGAUAAGACCUUAGGAAUGUAGCUUCCCUCGGGAAGUGUUAUAGCCUCUGGUGAUGCAGCGCGUCUCGGGUGAGGUCCGCGCUUCGGCAAGGAUGUUGGCGUAAUGGUUGUCAGCGGCCCGUCUUGAAACACGGACCAAGGAGUCUAACAUCUAUGCGAGUGUUCGGGUGUCAAACCCCUACGCGUAAUGAAAGUGAACGGAGGUGGGAAGGGUAACCUGCACCAUCGACCGAUCCUGAUGUCCUCGGAUGGAUUUGAGUAAGAGCAUAGCUGUUGGGACCCGAAAGAUGGUGAACUAUGCCUGAAUAGGGUGAAGCCAGAGGAAACUCUGGUGGAGGCUCGCAGCGGUUCUGACGUGCAAAUCGAUCGUCAAAUUUGGGUAUAGGGGCGAAAGACUAAUCGAACCAU
rnacentral:rRNA from 1 species